rnacentral:lncRNA from 1 species
CCACUUGCAGAGUUAGCAACUCAUCAGCUUCUACAGGUGCACGGCAAUGAACGCGAGAAGGUUUUUAGCUACACUAGCACCGAACAUCUGAGAGCAGAAUCUGUUUCCCAGGAUUCACCAUGACCCUUUCCAAACAGCUCUAGAGUCUUGUUUUGUCAUUCAGACUGCAUGGCUGAUUCCCCAGGCAGAAAACAGGUGACUAUUUUAUGCUUCAGUUCUUUCAAGGGACAACUGACACAGAAUGGCUUUUGGAAGCUAAAGCUGUUAGAAGGCCAUCUCCAUGCGAUGUUUAGAAGCUGCUUCUAGUGAAGAAGCAGGGGAAGGUGAAGAGAACUCAUUUUCUUAUCUCAAGGACCCUUGACAGCAUCAUCUCUGCUCCCUCUCGGGACUCUUUUUCCCCCACAGUGAAAGGAAGACAUCUUGUAAAUCUGCCCCUUAACUCAGCCCUGCCAGAAGUGACCGAGGUCGGCUCUAGCCGGUCUCCUGUCCUCUCUGUGACUUCGAGGCCGAAGUUGCCUGAGUCGUCCAUUCCUGAAGAGAGGAGGCAGAGCCAACCCCUUGUUCCCGCAGAACUGAUUUGAUAUCGAUUUGAAUAAAGGCAUCUGCUGCCAUUUUAUUAAGCGCCCUAUUUAAUCUCCAUGUCCCUGCUUCCACUUUCUCUUAAUAUCAACUGUCCUUGUCCCCUUUCAAAGUCAGAGUGACUCGGAAUCGCUUCAGGACUCUAUUCAGUGUGGCCUCUCAGAUGUGAGUUAGAACCUGAACCUACACCAGAAUUUCCUCCUUUUCUUUCUGCAGUUAUUUUUUUUCUCCACAAUUUUCUUUUUGAGUAUUUUAAAUACUUAAAAAUGUACGUCAAUCAAAAGAAACUACCGGAAAAAACCCCACAAAACUACCAAGUGUCGCAAAUGUUUUGUGUACAAUACCCUUGCAGAAUGUGAGCAAAAUGUCUUUAGAGUGCGGCUUUCAGCUUUCAAACUGAGACAUGCUCAAAUGAGAGGGGGGAAAAAUCCCCACGGCCCAGAGAUGCGGACCAACCCAUCUCCGGAGCGGAAGGAAGGGUGGGCACAGUGGCGCGCCGGCCUUAGAGACGGGAUGUGAAUGAGCACUUCGAUGCACACCUCACUUUAGCUACGGGAAAAUUACCAGGCAGAAACUUCAUUAAACCUCGGCUCUACAGGUAAAAAUCCAGGCCUGUGUGCAGCCAAGCCUCGGCUUCGGAGGUCGAAACCAACGUUGCUUCAUUUUCUGGCCCCGUGACACAAGCCAUCAAUUAAACGAGCUCGGGUUCGGGUCUCUUUC